rnacentral:tRNA from 1 species
UGUUCUGUGGCUUAUUUGGUUAAAGUGCUGGUCUCGCGAAUACAGAGUCGUGGGUUCGAAUCCCACCAGAACGC